CUUGCACGGUACGGAUCACUGUAGCGUCUUCAUGAACAAGAAGGCUCUUGCUUUGCAGUUCUCAGCUCCCAGUAUCUUGAGCUAAAUAAAGCUUUGCUCAUCCAAAACUACCAACCCUGGGAGCUGGGGAGAUGGUGCAGUUGCCCUCGCUAACCUGAGUGAUUCUGAAACUACACAAGCUGCAUUUGGGAGAAGGAGAAGUGUCUGGGAAGGGGCCCCGAAGAGAGGAAGAAGAACAGACGGAGACCAGGGGGAACUGGGAAGGAGCAAGUGCGGAGGCGAUCCUGAAGCUGCUGAGGAAGGAAGAUGGGAUUUGAUUUAAAAGAAAAAAAAAAAAAAAAAAAAAAAAAAAAAGGCCCACAAGAAUCCACAAGGCCACAUGCUGUGCUCCUGAUCAGAUGUCCCAUGGGAGUCUUUCCUCUCUCAGGCAGGAUCAGUGAGCUCGCCUCAAGCUCUUUUGCUGCAGAAAUGCACGGAAAAUAUGAGAGGAUCCUGAAAGAAUUCUCUGGCAGAGAGCACAUCUUGUUUUCGGCCGGCAUUUGUUUGUCGUCGUCGUCGUCACUACCUACAUUCCCCCGCCGUGUUCACAUAUGAAAACAAUUAUUUCUCAGUUCAGGAAGUCAGUUUUAAUCGUUAGUUUGGCUUCAAAGGAUCCAGCACCCUUUACAAGGUCAGACUAGCUCCAAAGACAGCUAGGCAGAAACUCUGGCCUGGGAGUAAGCUGAGCUUUCCUGGUAGGCAACUGCUUAGAACUUGUGCUUGAGUCCUGGAAAUGAGGAAGAUGUCCUAUCUGAGGUGGAAGGGAAGAGUUCAUCCCUGAGUGCUGGAGAGAUGGUCUCAGAGAAACAACUUCCCUCGGUCUCACCUGCACUCGGUAUUCAACAAGUUCCACUGGAGAGACUCGAGCCCCACACAGGGGUCAGGGCCCUGAUUUCUUGCCCCAGAUGUGUGACCCUAGGCAAAUCCAUCAGAAUCUAGGAAUUUCUAUUUACUCAGGUGUAUGUAGGGUUUCAACCAGUCCUUCUGCUAAGCAUAAAUACCUUCUGUUUUCCUUAUUGGCUCUGCACCAUGACAACUGUAAAUUAAUCUUUAUCUUCAGACAGCAAUAGAAUUAGACGCAAUAUGAGCAUUUUGCUUUGAUGGAUAUAACAGAAAGCCUUCACAUCUGUGCACGUGGUAGGGGUUAAUAUAAUGGAGAGCCCUACACACCAGGGUCUUUCAGAUUAUAGUGGGCAAAAGAAUCAGCUCAUUGAAAAUGCAUUGAGAGAUUGGCCCUGAGAAUCAGCGCAGACAGCUGCACCAUGUGGGUCAGGUCUGGAGGGGAUACUUACAGACAUCUGAGCCUUGGCUGGGCACCCAGGCUGUCCCCGCACAGCUGGGCCUGCUCUUCCUACCCAACUUAAGAGAUUUUGCUGCUGCUUCUAACAGUUAGGAAACCAGCUUGGAAGGCUUGACUCUGCAAGGGAGGGGCCACCUGGCCCAGGUUAGCAGCCAGCUAGAGUGCUAAAGAGGGAAAUAAAAAUUAAGAACAUA
ensembl:lincRNA Gm3716 predicted gene 3716